UACGAAGGGGGCUAGCGUUGUUCGGAUUUACUGGGCGUAAAGCGCGCGUAGGCGGAUCGCUAAGUCAGGGGUGAAAUCCCAGGGCUCAACCCUGGAACUGCCUUUGAUACUGACGAUCUGGAGAUCGGGAGAGGUUGGUGGAAUUCCGAGUGUAGAGGUGAAAUUCGUAGAUAUUCGGAGGAACACCAGAAGCGAAGGCGGCCAACUGGCCCGAUACUGACGCUGAGGCGCGAAAGCGUGGGGAGCGAACAGG
rnacentral:rRNA from 1 species